ensembl:lncRNA
CUUUAUUUUAAGCUUUAUCACGUCCUUCAGAUAGGGCCGUUGUUUGGGGGCGCUGGGAACACACAAGGCUUUAGCUAGAUAAACUUAAAAGACCCGUUCAAUUUUUACGAUUUGAUACUGGUCCUUUUACCUUUCGUUAAUAUGUGCUUAUUCACCACCACUACCACCUCAGUGAAAGGAAAGAGUAGGAUAGUAGGGCUUGUGUUGAGGUUAAUUUUUAAAAAGGUGCUGAAGCAGCCUGCUGUAAUUUUCUAAAUCUGUCUAAAAGAUUUGGCAGCCCCAAACCCUUGAACGAAGUUGGUUUUCUGUUUGCUGACAGCCUUUGACUCUUAUUUCAGUGAACGUUCAUUUGUGUAUGCUGGCUGAGAGUUUCUUGUAUCAAGGUAGCACGUUUUUCACACGUUUCUUUUAGCAGUGGAUAGGUGUUGAUUCAUUUAGUAGCGUCUGAAAUUUCAGCUGUGGAUUGUUCCAACUAGAUAAGUCUAUGCAAGGACUUUAAUGAGUUCCAGUACCUAUUCUGUGGUUCUGGUUUGUUAAUGACGGGAUAUUGAGAACAGUCUCUGUGUUAGUGGUCUUGAACAAAACAAUUCUCACAAAUAUGUAUCCCAAAGAUAGGUAACUUUCAAAAAAAAUUAUACCCUAUUUAUCUGUUUCUUUAGGGGAUGGGGGGAAUGGCGAUUCACUGUAAUGGUUAAAGGCUGUGCAUAUUGGUCCUUGAGAACUCAAACCGAGUAGCCUGGAGCUGCUAUAUAGACCAAACUGGCCUCCAAGUCACAGAAAUCCACCUGCCUCUACCUCCUGAGAGCUAGGAGUAAAGGUAUGUGCCACCCACCUUACUGGGCUAGAACUCUUGAUUUGGUAAACUUAUGGCAAACCUAAUCUGUACCUACAAGAAAGCCUACAGCAUGGUCAGCCUGUCUCUGUUCCAUAUCCUUUGAAUUACUAAGCCGCUCUCAUAAUUGUUUUCGUUAAAGACAACACCAAUUAAAUUUUGCCCAUUUUUAAAUUGGCUUAACUUUUUCUUUUUCUUUUUUUUUUCCCCCCUGAGACAGGGUUUCUCUGUGUAGCCCUGACUGUCCUGAAACACUCUGUAGAUCAGGCUGGCCUCAAACUCUGAAAUCCAGCUGUCUCUGCCUCCCAAGUGCUGGGACUAAAGACCUCAAUGUGCCCCCACAUCUGGCACAUUUUUUGCAAUUUCAAACUUAACUAGUAAAGUAGUAAAGAAUCUGAAAUUCCAUGUUUUAAAUUUAGCCUCAAAUUCAAAUCUUCCUGACUCUUCAUUUAGAGUGCUGGAAUUAACCAGCCUGGCUAGCCUGGUUUUUAUAGGUAAUUGUUGUGUUUAGUUAUUUGCUCG